AAUAUUGAUAUUGUGCUGACUCAGCGGGGUUACAGCACAGCUGCCUUUCAGUAUAAGGAAUCAGGUUGCACAUCAUACAGUCUCUGAUAACUACGAGCCUCCUACUGUCAAUUCAAGAAGACACGUCUUCCCCCAGUGCACCAACUGUUAUCAAGCUUCUGAUGAUGGAAACUCACCCUAUGUCCCUAUGCUACCCAAUUCAUUGUCUCUGGUGGACGACAAGGACCUCGUGACAGCACAUAUGAGCCACCUGGAUGACCAAAAGGGCAGAAGCGCUUGUAACCCAACAGAAGGUCAAGGUUGGAGAGGACAUCUCAAGUGCUGUGGCUCACAAACGACGGAGCUGCUUUAAAUCAGGAGGUACAGAUGACGAGACUCGUGGCUCUGUCUCUGGGAAGGGCCCGCUAAAGAAGCACCAGUUCCCACCAGCUCACUUUGGCAAUAUGGGUGUGGCUAUCAUAUGUGCACUGACCCUGGCUACAUGUGUGCGCCACGGAAGAGGCUACACAUCUACUGUUCUCCAUCCCUCUUUGGCUUAUAAGUACCGGUGGCUUGAUAGAGGCACACCCUGGAUUAGAGCUCUUGCAGACAGACUGACAUACCCCCAGAUGUUUGACCCCCAUAAUCUAGGGCUAGCUGCAUACUGUGGUGUCUUCCUCAUCCCCCUGACUACAUUGAUCUACCAAUAUCAACAUAAGUCCACCGACCCAAAUUAAUUUGAACACCAUCGGGACCUCUCUAGCUGCUGAACCUUCAGGUGGACACUCGUCCCUCAUUGCUCAUUGAUGAUUCAGAACCAGCAGUCCCUACUACAUCCCAAACUUAUAGUUUUAAUUACUGUGCAGACUCCUAAUUGUGAAAUGUACAUUUUUAAAGGUAUCAAUAGAUUACUCAUAAUUAUAUCGGGUUCUCUUUCUAUUGUGAAUUGCAAGUUUUCAGCUGAUCGCAAACGAAAACUGAGCAAUAUAUCACAUACCGUCUUAUUCAAUUUUAAGUGACAC